AGGUUAAAAGCGAAUAAUUGCAUUUAGUUUCGACCUAAAAGUUGACUUGAGAAGUCUUAACCUG
rnacentral:tRNA from 1 species